UUAAACCAGCAUCUGCUGUUCCUCCCUACACAUUCUCUCUUAGUUAGGUUUGGUUUAGAGAGACAGCGCUGAAACAGGCCCUUUGGCCCACCGAGUCUGCGCCAACCAGUCUAAGUUAAGAACUCACUUCUUUCAACAAUCUCCAUAUAUCUUUCCUGUUUUGGUCUGAAACGUCACCUAUCCAUGUUCUCCAGAGAUGCUGCCUGACCCGCUGCGUUACUCCAAUACUUUGUCCUUUUUUUUUGUUGCAAACCAGCAUCUGCAGUUCUUUGUUCCUAAUUACAAAAAAAUAAUAAAAUAUUGCAUCCCUCGUAUCUGCAGUGACCUUUUGAAUAUCUAGUCCUUUGAAUAACCAGUCGCUUGUGUACUUUCAUAAUAGAGUUUGUAGGUUAAUUGGUUUGGUUAUAAAUGUAAAAAAAAUUGGCCCUAGUAUGUGUAGGUGUGUGUGUGUGUGUAGGAUAG